AAUGAACGUUGGCGGCGUGGAUUAGGCAUGCAAGUCGUGCGGAAAGGCUCCUUCUGGAGUACUCGAGCGGCGAAAGGGAGAGUAACGCGUGGAUAUCUACCCCCUGGUCUGGGAUAGCGGCGGGAAACUGCCGGGAAUACCGGAUAAUUUCUGCGGACCAAAGGUGUGAUUUCGCCGGGGGAUGAGUUCGUGGCCGAUUAGCUAGUGGGUAGGGUAACGGCAUACCAAGGCAAAAAUGGGUACCGGGUGUGAGAGCAUGGCCCGGCUCACUGGGACUGAGACACUGCCCAGACACCUACGGGUGGCUGCAGUCGAGGAGCGUCGGCAAUGGGCGCAAGCCUGACCGAGCGACGCCGCGUGCGGGAUGAAGGCCUUCGGGUUGUAAACCGCUGUCAGAGGGGAGGAAAUGCGUAGGAGUUCUCUCUUACGUUUGACCUAUCCUCAGAGGAAGUACGGGCUAAGUUCGUGCCAGCAGCCGCCGUAAGAC
rnacentral:rRNA from 1 species